CAAUAGCGUAUAUUAAAGUUGUUGCGGUUAAAAAGCUCGUAGUUGGAUUUCUGCUGAGAACGACCGGUCCGCCCUCUGGGUGUGUAUCUGGCUCUUUCUUGGCAUCUUCUUGGUGAACGUUGCUGCACUUGACUGCGUGGAGCGCUACCCAGGACUUUUACUUUGAGGAAAUUAGAGUGUUUCAAGCAGGCAUACGCCUUGAAUACAUUAGCAUGGAAUAAUAAGAUAGGACCUCGGUUCUAUUUUGUUGGUUUCUAGAGCUGAGGUAAUGAUUAAUAGGGAUAGUUGGGGGCAUUCGUAUUUAACCGUCAGAGGUGAAAUUCUUGGAUUUGUUAAAGACGGACUACUGCGAAAGCAUUUGCCAAGGAUGUUUUCAUUGA
rnacentral:rRNA from 1 species